rnacentral:tRNA from 1 species
UCUCUUGUAGCUUAGUCACUGAAAGAUCUGCCUGCAACGCAGAAGACCCAGGUUCAAUUCCUGGGUUGGGAA